AGCCUGGUGAAGCCCUUGCAAACCCCCUCACUCACCUGUGCUGCCUCUGGAUUCUCUGUCACAAUCAGUGCUUCCUG